CGGGGAGCGGCGGCUCGGCCGGGCGGGCUGUGGGAACUCGGCCCCGACCGCGCCCCCCCUUCUGCCUCGGGAGAAGCUCCUGCUCAGGAACUGCUCAUUUACCGCUGCUGGUAGAGGGAUAACGCGUACGGGGAGAGUGCCCUGCGGUUGGUCCUGCAGUCAAGGGUUGUAAGGGCUGCCUGUGCACAGCUGUGACACCUCCUCCUGCUCUGCUCACCUUCAGCUUGGCUCAGGACCAUGCCUGGAAUCAGUCCCACUGGCAUCAGAUUACACACUUUUUUAUAAAAGUUUUUUUCAGAAUAACUUUGAUACUAUUUUACAUGAUCCUGAGAAAAUGUCUCAGGCUUCCUUGUCUUCAUUUGCACCCUGGGAGGAACAUGGGAGUUCACCAGAAGUUAGCUUGGCAGGGAAUUUUGAUAAUUAAUGUACCUGAUAAUCCACAAAGCAUCCUCUCACUGAGGAGAGUUAUAAUGGUGCCCGCUGUUAACACACCCAAUUAAAUUUUGAACAAGGUUUGCUGGCACAUCUUUACCACCCAGCUACUGAGUAACAUUGCCAAUGCAAGUUUUCCUAGAAGCCCAGUGGAAGCAGAUCGAAGUAAAAUACUUGCAUGAAAUAAUUAACAUCCAUCUUCCCAGUAGUCCAAUUGCAGCCAUACCAAAUGAAUCAGGAGUAUUGCAACAGAUGCUGUAUCAUUAAGUACCAGAUGUACAGCAAUGGAGUUAAAUACUAAAUAGACUGCAAGUUGUAAAGUAGCACAGCUGAGGUCAAUUCACCUCUUUUAGUUGGAGUCUAACAUGCAGUUGAUAUAUGUUUUGCUUGCCUCUUGUUAUUUUGGCAAGAGCCUAACUGCAAAAAAAAAAAGAAGAAACAUGAGGGUAAGAGUUCACUAUUUUUUUCCCCACAUAAAGAUGUUUGAAAGAAGAUAAAAAUUCUUUAAACAUUUGCAAUUCCUGUCUCUGCUAUACUCUAGAAGAGAUGCUAACUUCAGGUUUAUCAUUUCCUCUCUAAAACCAAAUGGAACUACUAUUUCAUAUUCUUUUAUCCAUCAGAAUAACUGAAUUUGCCUUGCCUGAUUUUGUUGGGGUAAAUAUGAAACAGGAAGAAAAAUAAUAAAACUGAAAAGCCACAGAUAGAUUAAUAGACACUAACAGUGUGGUGGUCAACUGGGAUUUACAUGAUCAACUGUCCUGCAUGACCCUUUAUAUUGACAAACACUGAAAACUGAUGGAGACAAGAAACAGGCAAAAGAGCAUCAAUAAGAGACUGUUCUGCAUGGGAUAGCCAAGUACAUAAAGCAAUUGAUAAUGAAUUAUCAAGACUCGUGGCAUGUAGCUGCAGCAUCCUAAGAAAAAAAUAUCAACCUUAUUUAUGAGCAUCUUAACCAUUAGUUAUCAAUCACUAGCAAUGAAUAGAGAAACUCUCUAAAUGAUAGGGUAUUUUGGCACAUCCAAACUACAUUUAACAACUUUUUGCCUGUGGCAAGGACUACUAUGUACAGCCCAAGCAAAUUGGUGAGAUCUUGUUUUCAUUCAGUACAGUUCCAAUUGCAUCCUAAGGUUUAAUUUUGAAUAAUGGUUAUUCAAUGGCUAUUUUAAGCUCCUAUUUCAUAAAAUCAAGCCAGUUUAAAAAAAAAAAAGCAAAAUCUCAUUUCCGUUCAAUUUGCUAAAUGCUGAACUGAUAAAAAAGUACUAUGUCUAUAUACCAUGCUUGUACACGGGCUUUUGUGCCAUCUGAACCUCUGUCUAGGGGACAGAGGUUGCUCAUAUACCAAUUGCGUGAAGAUCUGGGUAUAUUGCUCAUAGGAGGAAGGAGGCUGGCUACCAUAUCAGAGUCGUUUCCUCAGGCCUCCUUUUGCAAAAACUCUGGAAACUUCUUGUAUACAGCAUAUUACCUUGCCUAUAAAAAAUUAUAAGUUUAAGUUGCCUUACCAGGUCUUCAGGAAGAACAAGGACUGUGGUAACAACCUUUUAAGAUUUAGAACCUGUUUUAUGGAGACACUUGAAAAGUUGACGUAGAACUGCUUGCAGAUCAAGAAAGAGAGGUGACUGGAUUGAAAUACAGACCUUUGGAAACUU